CUACGGACUAUUUUGGAUUGCAUUAUAAUUAGAGACAAUUAGACGGUGAUACGCAGGGGAAACAAGAAUUGAGAUCAUUUACUUAAGGGGACAUUUUGCCCUGAAAUAAAAAAUGUACCUGAAUUCAAAGUAUUGUAUCCACAGUGUUUAGAUGGGAAAUGACCAUUUACAUUUGGACAACUGGACAGUUUUUUUACUCGUAGGGUCUCCAAAUGAAACCACACAGGACGACAGGACUGAUGGCAAUACGAUAUGUCAGGGAGACAGACAGAUGUAGGCACAUUAUUCAUAAUAAUACUAGUGAUGUUUUAACCUCUACUCAGGGCUGUAAGUAUUUUUGUUUCUUAAAAUGAAUUCUUUGAUGGAAGACAAGCCACAGUUUAUCCCUUUUUGUUUCUUCUUUUCUGCCUGUUUUCGUUGUGUGCGUUUGUUUUUGCAUGUCCUCCUGGACUAGACACUAGACAGAGUUCUAACUAACUCUCCUCAGCACGUCUGCUACUCUACUGAUAAGGACUGACAUCUUAAAUCCGCCUGCUAUCCCCUUUGACCACCCCCUUCGACAGAAACGUAUCGAACUAUGUCUGUCAUGUCUCUGCGGGAUCUCCAGACUUUGUUCAGUAAGAGUCUUCCAAGUGUUUUUCGGAGACGACAGGGACAGAGGAGGAGACAAGCUCACUAAUGGACAUCUGGAAGAUGCUACUCGAGGGUUUGCAGGUGCCAGACGGUCAGAAACACUCAUUCUGUUCUAUGUUGUGCACAAAGAGAUGAGAAUGAAAGCCUGAUACAACA